UCUUACGUUUUUUCCACUUAAGUGCUUUUAUUUAAAAAAUGGCAUCGAACAAAAAACUGACCUCUUUAAAGUACAAUCUAAGCAGCUUGAUCUUUCAGAAACAGUGCUAUACGUAAAAAUUGGAGCGAGUUUAUUAGGAUAAAACGUGUCGACAGAUUAGAAGAAAAAAAAAAAAGAAAAAAGACAUAUACAGCAUUGUAAAACCAAUAGCUUCUUCGCUACGCUCGGAAUCUAAAAUUAGUUGUGAAUAAAUAUUUUUUCAACAAUUAGUGACUUUCUUUGGCCAAUACUUCAGUCUUUUUCGUGUUAGUUGAUUUUGAUAUCGGAAUAUUACGAAACCUUUCAAUAAUUUCUUUUUUAUUUCUAAACGGUACAUU